CGCCGCCGCCGCAGCUACGACCGCCGCGUUCUAUUCUCCUCAGCCGGCGACAGCCUUGCCUCCUGCCUCCCGCCUCCUCCUCCUCCUCCCGCCGCGCCAGCCAGACCGGCACGCUGGGCCUCGCUUAGAACCCGGAGGGCUGCGGGCGCGCGCAGGCGGCGGAGCAGAUCCCGGCGCCGCGGAGGCUGCGAGCGCCCCCCUCCCGGAGGUCGCCGCGCUGUUCCCCGGGGGAACAUUCAUCUGUUUUAAAACGCAGACAGAAAACAAGAAGUUCUCUC
rnacentral:lncRNA from 1 species